UUGUUUGCUCCUUACAGGACUUUUAGAUUUUUUCCUGUCGAUUCUCAGAUAAUUCUGAAACUGUAAUGUUGUUCAGAUGAAAAGUUAUUUUUAUUAUUUCCUUUUGUACCACUUUUAGGUGUUAGCCCUGUACAUUGAACUUAUAGGGUUUUACAUGCAGAAGUUAGGUUUGUCUGAUCAGAAGUAUAUCUAUUCAAAUAUGUUGAAUUUUA